GGCUCGUUGGUCUAGGGGUAUGAUUCUCGCUUCGGGUGCGAGAAGUACCGGGUUCAAUUCCCGGACGAGCCC
rfam:Ciona savignyi cont_20513, whole genome shotgun sequence.